AGUGAACGCUGGCGGUAGGCCUAACACAUGCAAGUCGAACGGCAGCACAGUAAGAGCUUGCUCUUACGGGUGGCGAGUGGCGGACGGGUGAGGAAUACAUCGGAAUCUACUUUUUCGUGGGGGAUAACGUAGGGAAACUUACGCUAAUACCGCAUACGACCUACGGGUGAGAGCAGGGGAUCUUCGGACCUUGCGCGAUUGAAUGAGCCGAUGUCGGAUUAGCUAGUUGGCGGGGUAAAGGCCCACCAAGGCGACGAUCCGUAGCUGGUCUGAGAGGAUGAUCAGCCACACUGGAACUGAGACACGGUCCAGACUCCUACGGGAGGCAGCAGUGGGGAAUAUUGGACAAUGGGCGCAAGCCUGAUCCAGCCAUACCGCGUGGGUGAAGAAGGCCUUCGGGUUGUAAAGCCCUCUUGUUGGGAAAGAAAAGCAGCAGGUUAAUACCCCGCUGUUCUGACGGUACCCAAAGAAUAAGCACCGGCUAACUUCGUG
rnacentral:rRNA from 1 species